UUUUUUUUUUUUUUUUUUUGGUUUUGCUUAUUUCUAUUUUCUAGUCCAAGAUUUAAUCUAGUUCCAUUCCACUUUGGUGCUGUCAGAUGUUUUAUAUUUCAAACCUCCAUAUUUCUACCGAAAAACAGAAAACAAAAAGAACAGACCAGCGACGAUGGGUGAAGAGGAACUGAGGGCUAAAUUGCAACGGAUCUUCUGUCCCACACGCUGUGCCACUUUUUAUUAUAUUGCUAUUUUUCCUACAUAAACAUCAUAUUUUAAUUUUUUUUUGUUUCCUCAUGAUCCAAUAACUAUUAAUUCAGUAUCAAAAUGCAUAAAAAAUGAGAUUUUUUAUAAAUUUUCUGUUGUAUUUUUUAAUUUUCUAUUACAUAUUACUUUUUUAAAACUAUUGUAUUUAAUUUUUUACUAAACUAAUAGUUAUUAAAUCUUAAGAAAAUAAAAAAAAAAAAAAGUGGCACGGUGCCUCAACUAAAUUGAAAGGCCGUUGCUUCUUUUUCAAGAAAAGAAAAGCCCGAAAAAUAAAAAAAAAAAAAAAAAAGAGAAAAAAGCGCAUCACGGAACGGAUUGGGCGGGCCUCACUGCCGGGAUCUCGACAGAGCAUAACGUCUUAUGUGCCACGUGUCCAGGCUUCCAGAGUAGUAGCAGUAGUACUAUCAAAGGUUGCGUCAGCGCUGACGACGACAUCCAAAUACCCUACUAAUUAAAAUAUAUUUUAGGUAUCAUAUUUUUGUUAAUAUAAAAUUAAUUAGAGAAAGUAAAUAAUUAUUAAUAAAUGAUAAACAAAAUUAAAUAAAAAAGUAUAUAAAUAUAAGAUAAGGUAAUAAUUAUUAGUGUGUGUGUAUAUAUAAUAUGUCAGGGGAAUGUUAAAUGUGUGUUCUAUGAUCUAUCAUCCGGCAGAAAAACCCUAAAAAGAAAAGCAUUGGUCAAUGUUUGACAACUAACCAAUAUAUAUUUCAAACCAUAAACGUGUACCAAUAUGGCAGGUGGCGUCCAUCAUAGCCGGUCGCAUUUCCAUCCGCAGAAUCAGAAGUAUAUACGCGGCGCAAUUCUGCCUGCAAAAUCAGCAGCCCUCGCCAUUAGCAGUUGGUUUUUCUAGGGAAGAAUUUUGGAUUUGAUUUGAUGUUGAGAAACUCACGACCUAAUGUUAGUUUUUAUUAAUCCGAAGUACAAUGAGAUUCCAGAUCACUGUAUUUCUCUUGAUCAAAGAAUAUUAUUCUUAUAUCCCUCUUUCUAUUUGUAUUUCUCUUGAUCAAAGAAUUAGGUAACCAAAAAAAAAAAGGGCAAAUCUGUAGGAGUUGAGCAUUCAUUGCAAUGCAGGUAGCUGAUAUUGAGAUCCAAGGCAGGCUGAUGGGCACGGGAAGAACACCGUCUACAGUCAGUGUUAAGUGCAGGGGCUGAGAUUGAUCUAGGGGCACAAGGACAUUGUUGGCUAAAGGUCCACCCCUGAAUAAAUCAACAAGGACCAGCCCCCGUGUCCCUGGCCAUUGAACAUUUGAAUUCAAUGCAAAAAAGGCAACAUGCUCCUUAGUUUGAAACCCUCUCUCUUCACGAAAAGACUCCAAAUUUCUCAACUGUGGCUGCCGCCUUUGACAGCCUCGUCAAUUAUACAACUGUUAUCGUUAUAAUGAAAAACAACAAUUGUAAAACUAAGAUGGCUGGGAGAGAAUUUGUCACAGCGGAUCAGUAGCCAUGAAAAAGGAACUAAAUCCGUCAUCGAACUCUUCUAAGUUAAAAGGGUUCGAACCCCCACUUGGUUUGAAGAAAAAAAUUCGAAGGACAUGGCUGCUCCUUUCUUGUGUACCGCCUCCUCAUCUAACAUGGGCUCGAACAGAUUUUCUAUGUUUUUAUUUUCCCUUCAUUCUUGCUAACACAUUCUUAGUUCUUGUUUGUACCGUAAGAAAGAUGAGGCGUCAUCCCCGUAAGAAGAGACCUGAAUGCACUCCGCACCGUCUCAAUCAAUUGCAUUUAAGAAUUUCAUCAUUUGAACUUUGUGGGAUGAAAUUUGAGAAUUUGAGAGUUAACAAGUCGACUCAAACAUAUGGGAGAAUGAAACUUGCAAUUCUCCCUCCAAUUAUUCCAAAUCCGUUCAGCGACAAGAGUGGCCAAAGCACCAAAUCGUUUACUAGACCUUGGUAUCAAUGUCAAUUGGAUUCCAACAGUCAAUUGUGCAAAUGCAUAUGAAAUCUAAAAGCCCUCUAAGAAUUGUGACUCAAGGUAGCCUCGCUCUUUCUCUAGACAUCAACUAGAUACCAAAUACCAAGCUUCUGAAGUUACAAUAAAUUGGCUGGAACAUUUUUCAUGUCAUAUAUAUCCCCUACAAAAUUAAUUAGCACCUCCCUUAAAACUAUCCAAAAGAAGCAAAGAUAAUAUCAACAAAACUGCGACAAAAAUCAACAUCAUGUAUUACAGCUAAUAUCUUCCUAGACACAGUAACAAGAAACCAUCACAGUCCAGGGAAGCAUACAACUAAUUAGCAUCAUCAACAAAACAGUGACAAGAAUCGGUAAAAUGAAUUAAAGAGAAUAUCUCCUACAAACAUUGAUCAAGAAAGAAGAUCAUAAAUCAGGGAAGCAUACAAUUGAUACACUACAGCUUUUGGGGGCAAUUUGAGCAUGGUUAUUGAUUUUGAGAAAAGAAAAGGAGAACAACGUUACUGAUGAUUCUCGCCCGUUGUUAUCAUGCGGGUAUUAUAUGAAUUACAAUGCCUGCACUUGUGGCCAAAUAUGUGAAACAAUGCUUUACCAGUAUUGUUGCAAUCAUUACAGAGGAUUGAGACCUGCAAAGUCAAUGCAUAUCUGUGAAUGACAUCUGGGAAAAAACCAUGUCAUAGCAUGCACCUGCAUACCCAAACUGCUAUUUGUAAAGGAGGUACUCCCUUAAAUAAAAAUUUCAUAAGUUCCAGACCCACCAUGACAGUAAACUUUCCAACAAGCCCAACUAAAACAUAACAGAAAUUCAAAAUGAACAAUCAGUUUCUCAUGGUCAAAAAUUCACGAACAUCUUAUAAGGUAAACCUCAAAUACAUGCCUUGCAAGGUGAGGCAAUCUGAUAAAAACAUGGACAAGAAGUUUAUACAAAAAUAGGAAAUAGGAAAACUGUGACUUACUUCAUAACGGUAUUCCUCAGGCAUUGCUGUAGCUUCAAUCUGUCCCAGAAAGAAUGAUCACCAAUAUAAGGCCAGGAAGAUACUAAGUUAUAAUACUCUACAUGCAAAAAUUGAGAAAACUAGACCCCAUACACAUGGGUCAGUCACAUGGUUAGUCUAUGGAUACAAAGUGAUUUCAGUGACCAGAAGUAGAAUAAAUGAAAUUCACCCACAUUGUAGAGUUACCGGUCAAUCUAAUAGACAACACUACAUAUUUUCAGUGCCAUUCCAGCUUCCGACUCUCGACAUAUUAAAGAAUGGACUGCUGUAUUAAGCAGAAAGAAACAUGAGGCCAAGCCCAAUGCAAGUUAAUGGUCAAUCUAAUAUUCACUUGGCCAUGAUCCAAGUCAAUGAUUUAUGUAAUACUCACACAAGACAUACUCCAUGGAUAAAGUCAACCAUCCCUAGAACUAAUGGGGCUCAGUAUAUCACUGGACCAAUACAAUUCACGUCCAAAUGAAAAGUUGUGUAACAAAUCAUAAACUGGUGGUUAAUCCAAUGGUAAUCUUCCAACUUUAGCAAAUAGUAAUUGAGGAAUUGAGCUUAUAAGAUGAAAUCAAGUCUGAACACAACCUAACAUAUAUAAUAACCAGCAACAGGACAAAGAUUUUUUGAAAUGCAUUGUCUUGACACAAUGCUAAGGACACAAUGCUAUUAUGAAAUGCCUGUCUAAUUUGUACUGGCCAUGUUUCAGAUAAACUUCCUGUCUUGAAUAAUUUUUUCACACAUAUCACUAACUUAAUUAGUCAAGAACAUUUUCCAAGUAAAUAAUCCAAGAAAAGCCUCGAAAAAAUUAUAGUGAGCACAAACACCAUAGCUGAGCGAUUAUACAACCAUGUGCAAGGGACAAUGAGAAAAUACUAUCAUACUUCCAGAUCUAAUCUUUCCCAGGUUCUGGACAUGUUGAAUACUGACUUCGAGCAGAUUGGACACCUAUACCUACAAGAUAAAUGCAAUGCAAAGGUGACAUUAUUAGACGGUGAAGCACAAUCUGGAGAACAAAAAUGGAGAAGACAACAAUAAGCACAAUCAAUCACUGGCUUAUUGAUUCAAAACAGAAGAAAAUAAGAAAUAGAAAGAAAAGCUGAACUUUACUGGCUUUGGCUGAUCAUCUCAGAAUAGCAAUCCAUAUGCAUUGUAUGCCCACAUUUCAUAAUUGUUGUGCCUUUUAUGGAAUCAAAUAGAAACUAGCAACAAUACAUAAACAUUAGAUUAAACAAGUACCAAUAUAAGAACUUUAAGGAGAAAUGGUCUUGAUUCCAACCUCAUAGCAGAUGGGACAGUGAUUCUUCAUUGAGUUCUCCACACAUGAGUGAUUAUCACGCAACUCAAUAGAAUAGCAAGAUCCUGUGCUUUCAAACAUCAAGAAAAUGACAAGAGUAUCCCCAGAAAAAAAAGGAAAGAAAAAAUCUGCUAAAUGGAUGAUAAACCUUUGUGCUGCUGCCUUCUAUAAGCAAAAACCUUUCAAGUUCAUAGAAUGACCAGGAUAUAGGGUAUACAUUUAUGAAAGGAAGCUCCAAAAAAUUUUCAGAAAAAAAAAAUACAAAAGGUGCUCUUUGACAAUUGCAAUAGCAAGUAUUAUGAAAUACAAAGUGUAUCAGUCCCCCAUCAGCCACCGUUUUGCUCUCAUUUCCCAACACAAGCACGCUUUAGUUUCCUAAAUACAGUAAUCCAAACAAUGAAGAAUUCAAGAACUUCACAAACAAUAUGUCAACAGUUAAUUGCUAUCCUAUGGCUAGUCUUUCUCUUUUCCAACACCACUAAAACAUUCCAUCAGAGUUAUGCUUAACAUUCUAGAGAUGAAAUAGCAAAUCCAUCCAACAAUUUCAUUAUUUUUUGAUAUCCCUGUUGUAUAACAUAUUUACAUGUUGCAUUGUAAUACUAUCAGAAUAGCAGAACCAGAAAGCAUUCUCCUUGAUUUUCAGCAGCAAUCUUUUUUUUUUAAAUCAAGUAAAGAGGCGGCACUAAAACAUUCUUAUCUUUGUCAUCUACAUCAACAUAAUACAAUAUACUCUGUUAUUUGAAAUAAAUAAUCUAAGAUUACUCUCUUUGUAUUUUUUCCCCCGUGGAAAUGUUCCAUGAUGUUUUCCUGAGUCAGGUAGGGCAAAAACUUGUUAACUUGACAUUUUCCAAAAGGGUCUGGUUAAGAACAGAUGCUUAGGAAUCAGGGAAAGAGAACUGGCAUGGAUAAGUCACACGUUAUUUUUCCACACCUUAGAAAGGAAAUGAUAUCUUGUGGGGAGACCGUUACAAGGAUAUAAUAGAACCAUAAGUAGCAUGUUCGAAAACACAACUUCGUGUAAAAUGUGCUACAAAUGAAAUGAGAGUGCAUGCCUACAUACCGCACUUAGGGCAGUGGAAGUAGUUCUCCCGUCCACCAACUCUGCAUGGCCAUGAUUAGCAUAAAACGUUACAAGUACAUUACAAGUAAGAGUUUCUUCUUUUUUUUUUUUCUUUUCUCAGAACUGGGUAACAAGGAAUGUUCUACUUCAGUUGUAACAAAUAGUCAGAUUCUCCAACUCAGUUACCUACAAAUCCCACAAUCAUGACAGUGAAACUGCUUCUUUGUGGUCUGCAACCAAAAGUAAGAGACAAAUGAUACCAUUUGACAACUCAUAUCACGUAGGAAGCCAGUAUGCAUAUUGUAUAGAUGCUCCUUUUAGAAGACAAGGUUGAAAUAGCAUUACAUCAUCGUCAUAGAAUCUGCAAAUGUGGCAGAAAUACUCUCCAAAUUUAACACCACAGUUUGAACAAAGCCCAGAGACCUAGGUAACAGGAGAUAACACAGAGAUAUGAUUAGUCAAAUUCAAGCAAAAUGGUAAACACUUAUGACGAGUUCAAGGAAUUAUAAUCUCAAACCUCUUGCUCGAUAUUGCAUACUGCACAGAUGACCUGCAAGGAGCAAUAAUUUGAAACAAGAAUUAAACACCCAAAGAUGGGAAAACAAGUUAGACGGAAACAGCUAGCAGAAGGAGAGAGGAAGUAAGUACUUGCUUCACAUCUUGCCGAACAAGCUCGUGGCGUUCUUGGGGAUUGCUCAGAACGCUCUGUCGAAAGUUAAUGAAAUCAAGAAUCAAGAAAAAACCCAAAGUCUCACGGAAUCCAGUAAAAUAACAAGCUACUACAAGUAUUAAUCUGUUUCACACGGUAUCAGAUUACAUUACCAUGGCCUCGUUGUGACAGUGACGGCAAGUAAAAACCUGAUUACAGCAUGGCGUUCGAAGUUUACACCGUCUACGAUAAUGCUCGCAUCUACCCACAAACGCAACCAACAUCAUCUCGAGCAGAAUCAAAAUUUAUCGUUAAGGAUGGCGAGAAGAACAAAAAGAAAAAUGAAAAAACAAAAGAAACGCACCCGUAAAGCGUCUUUCCAUAAUCUUCUCUGUUGGGCUGAUCUGUACUCUCGCCGUCACCGGCAGCUUCUUGGUUUUCUUGAGGUUGGUCGACAAGGCUGGGAAUAGGAAUAUUGUCCUCUUCACCAUUCAUAGUGGUAAAUUUGAUUUGGGAAAUCUUAAUUGUUGAUGAAUGAGGGGUUCGAGUAGGGUAAUUGUUAUGGCGUAACUCAAUUUUAGCCAGUAACCGAAAAAUCGUGGAUUGAUGACGAUACCACGUCACCUUUGCUAAGUUUUUGCACGGGAUAAUUUCAGAAACCUCCCCGAGAUUUCUGAUAAUUUCACUAUGAGGUUUUAAAAAUUAGACGUACCUCCUUUAAUUUAGUAGUUUUAGUAAUAAAACAUUAAAAUAAUAUUGACUUGGUCAAAUUUUUAAAUGAAUAUCCAAAAAUACUCUUGUGUAAUGAGUUUUAAUUUAUUUUUCUAUAAAAUUAUAAAAUUACCUAAUAUAAUUAUAAGGAGAAGGUAUCGAAUUUUUCGUGUCUAUACCUAUUAUUUGAUAAAUAACUAUAAUAGUAAUUUUAUCAGUAUAAUAGGAUACUUUUGAUGAUAUUUUAUUAUAAAUUUAGAUUUAUAAAAUAGAAAAUAAAAUGUUAAAAUAAUUGAUUCAAAAAUUAUGAAUUUUUUGAGUAGUGGGAUUAUCAUAAUUUAGUAAUGAUUUUGAACAAUUAUUUUUUGAUUUAUUGUUAAUUUUAAUACCAAAAAAUAGAAAACAAAGAUUAGCAAAAAACAUCGAAUUAUGUAUAAAGUUAACUCAUCAAAAAAAUUAUUAGUUCGAUAUUUGAUUUUAAUAAAAACUAGAGAUAAUAAUAGCAAUUUUACAAUUUUAUUGGCAAAAAAUUAAAAUAAAAAAGAAUAAGAAGCAAAAAUAAUGACAAAAAUAAUUUUAAAGUCAUUUUAAGUAUAAACAAGGGCAGCAUUAAAAUAUUUAAAAUAAGGGAAUUUCAUUAAAAUAUUUAAGGGCAGCAUUGUUAUUUUAAAUGGCAAAUGAAGUAUGUGUAAUUUUUUUAAUUUUAGAAGAAUUCAGUGAAAUUAUUAGAAAUUUUAGGGGAGGUUUCUAAAAUUAUCCCUUUUUGCACUAAUAAUUAAGAGAUCCUUUCCAGUUCCCACGCCCACGAGACGGCGCCUUGGCGUGAGCUUGGACGGUGUUGAUCGAUGGAUAUAUAUAUAUAUAUAUAUAUAUAUAUAUAUAUAUAUAUAUAUAUAAUAUUACUGAAUUAAUGGCCAAGUACCAAAUCAUUCAGUACCUCGAAUUUUUUUUGUUAAAUAAAAAUUUAGGUGAAUUCAACUCUAAUCACCGUUCCGAACCAUCCUUUUUAGAAUCACAGGUCACUUGCAAAAAUUUUUAUAAAAUCAUCCCCCUACGUAGCUUUUAUCCUCCUCAAUAUAAAAUUUCAAACACACAACCCUCAAAUUUCACUUUCAUGCUUCUCAAUAUAAAAUUUAAACUGGGUUAAUGAUCAUUCAUUACUGUUCAAACUUUAUUUACUUAACAAAUCAAUUAAAACGAGCUUUCGUCUAACCAAACUCUUUUUUUUAUUGAAGUACUAUCAAUUAUGCCGAGGGCUCUUGCAAGUUUCAGCCCAAAAAAUGAGUGAUUCCUUCACGCUGCAUCUUAAGUAGAGGUGUCAAAAUGGGUGACUUGGACGGGUUUGGGUUGGGUAAAAUGGGUAAUGGGUAUAAGUGAGUCAACUCAUUUAUACCCAUUUAAUUAGAUGAGUAUAAAUGGGUAAGUCAAAAAAUGAAUUGGAUAACCCAAUUACCCAUUUAUAACCCAUUUAUUUUAAAUUUUUGUAAACUCAUUUAAAUUCAUUUUUGCAAACUAAGUUAUCAAUUUAUACCACUAUUUGUACCCAUCAUUAGUUUUAAAUAUUUACUUAUAAUGUUCAAUAAACUUAAUUACCAAUUUUUUUUUCAUUUAUACUCUAUUUCACAAAAUUACUUAUUAUUUAAUAAUUGAAUAAUAAGAAUAUAAAAAUUUGAACUAAGUACUAUAAAAACUUAAUCCAAAAAUUUUGAACCCCUAACAUUUUUGUCAUAUAUAAAUUUAAAAUUUCAUUUUAUAAAGAUAAGAAAAUAGACUAAAAUUUAUCAUAAAUUGGUAAUGCUAAAAAAUAAGCAAGUUAACAAACUAAGAGAAAAUAAAAUAAUAAGAUAAAACUAACAAAUAAUAAUAAUAAUGAAACAAAAGUAAUUAACAUCAUGACAAAAUGAAAAAUUUUUUAAAAAAAAAGGUGGGGGAAAAGAAGAGACUUGGGGGGAGAGAAUUCUAAAUGGAUUCAUUGGAUUUGAUGGGUUACCCAAUAAUACCCAUUUAAUAAAUUUAAAUUUAAGAUACCCAUACCCAUCUAUUCAUGGGCGGAUAUGGGUAAAUUUAGUUAAAUGGGUUAAUUUGCCACCUCUAAUCUUAAGCCAAGUCAAUAAGUCAUGCGAGUGAAAAAUUUCGCACCUCUAGCCUCUAGGGCGUACCUGGCACCUGCAUCUGCAAGCAGGGUAGGGCAUAUAACAUAUUAUAAAGAGUUGGUGUUUGCACAGAAUAUUAUUUAAAAUAAUUACAUAGAUUAUUAUUUGAAAUAUUAUUUAAAAUAAUUAUUAUAAGUUAGGUUUGUUUGGCUAAAGUAUUAUUUGAAAUAAUUAUUAUAGCAUUUUUUGUGAUGUGAUAUAUGCGAAAUAAAAAGGUGAUAGAAAAUAUAAAAAUAUGAGUUGAAAAAUAUGUUUAUAAUGCAAGCAAAAUAUUAUUUGGAAUAAUUUCACUGUCCAAACACUGUUACUUUUUUUUAUGUGAUUUAUAUAUAUAUAUAUAUAUAUAUAUAUGAAAUAAAAAAUGAUUAAAAAUAUUUAAAAAGUGAGUUGAGACAUAUUUUAUAAUGCAAGCAAAAUGAUAAUUAAUCUCAAUUAAUUAUCAAUAGUGUGAAAUGAUAAAAAUGUUUUUAUACCAGCAGUGUUACUCCUAUCAUGAAUGAUAAUGAGUCUCAAUGUAAAUUUAAAUUCUAAUUAUUUUUUUAUUUUUACAAAUGUAACAUGCAUAUGCUCCUUAUUAUUGUAUACUUAAUCUUUUAAAAAAUUUAGGACUGUGUUCCCAUUUUACGCCGUAGUCCAAGAAAGCAUUACAUACAUAUUAGCGACCUAUACAGAAUAGGAAUGGUACUAUAUUACCUAGUCGUCCAUUUCUUACCAGGAGUUGCAUAUACACACGUAUCACCUCGUGUACCCAACAUUUUCCCAUCAUAUACCAGGUGAUGCGUAGCGGUCAUUUCCCUUUCUGAAGAAUGAACACAACGACAAAAACACUUGCAAAGCUUAAAAGGGUUGAUUUCCAAUUCAUGUAUGCCAAUAAUAAGUUUUCGUCUGUUGUACUCCUGUUUCUGAAAAGAAAUCCUAUGGAGAUUUUACGUUGCGCUACAGAAGGUAGGAAGGUGAAAAUGUACAGGGAAUUCCUCUCAGCAUUCGGCCUCGAAGCAGACUGUUUGACUUUAAAGGAUGGCGCACAAGCAUCUUUGUGUCUCACUUGGGUUCUUUUCUGCAUAGAGGAGAAACAAAAGCCAGGAAGCAGAAUGUUAGAUAAAAACCAACAGCUCUCCUAAAAAGCCAAAUAGGAAAAAAAAAAAAACACCAGAAAUAAAAACUUAAUAAGACAACCUUGACUUUGACAAACAAGAAAAUGCACAACGUAUGGCAACGAUAUAAAGGUGGGACAGUCAUAUUACAAUUAUGUAUCAUUCCUGGUUAAUUUCUUCGGUUGCCGUAAAAAUUUCAUUUUGUAAUCUGCAAACAUCCCUCCACAGCCCAGGCACGCUAGAACCACACCAGGAAGCUGAUAGAAGGAAAAGAAUAGGCCAAUUUCUUGAAAAUUUAGCAUCAAACAAUCACAAGAUAACAGGCUGUUGCUUUAGAACACCAUAAACUCAUCCAAAUGUUAAAUUUUUAAAAGAAUCAUAGACAAAAUGAAUGCUUGCCACGGAUGUGUUGGAUUCUGGGGGUUGCAUAAGCCAAAAUACCUGUCUUCUUUCCACUAUUAGGGGGUUGCACCACGACAUGCAUUGUAAUAACUCCACCAGAGACAUCACCAAUGGGUAUUCUUGACUCAGCAAGUGUCCUUCCAUCGUCCAAAAUCUUUCCAGCAUGUAUUAGUUUGAUAUCACCAGCUGACUUGGGUGCGAUAGAUUUAUCUAAAAGUGGUGGAUACGAAUAGAACAUAAUUAAGUGCUCUAAAAGAAUGCAAAAGAAGAUCAAUGCGGAGCAAGUUCCAAAUGCAUAGAAGGAACCAAGGCAAAUUGCAUGAUCGAUAGCAAGUAUUUACCAAAUAAGAUCACAAAAACCAAUCUAAAUAGAAAAGACCGUAUAACGAGAUGCAUGGGUGCAUGAUUUGACUUUAUUAUAAGAUUUUCACGACAAUAAAUAUGAUCUUUCAGCAAAUCUAAAUCAAGCAACUCUAGCCAAUCCGAUUGAUAAGGAAAUAAUGUUUCGUAAAAUUUAGUGAUUUAAAGAGCCUCGGCAUUAACAAGUCUGUAAUGAUGAGAUAGGAACUACAGUAAUCUCUCCAGGUACCAAAUCUCUCAGACUCUCACAUGCAGACUGGGAAAAAGAGAUCGAAUUUGAUACUCUGAGAUUAGAUAUAAACUACAAGUCUAUAUGUCCAACUAUCAUAAUUUCUCAUGCCAGUUUCUUCCUUGUUUCAUAUCCACCCCUUCAAUAUUUAACAACGAAAAUACCAAAACAAUAAGAAUAUAUAACAAUCACGUGUGGUCAGAUGAUAAUCUUGUACAAGCCUUCAUCUGUAAAUUAAUUACGUUAAGUUAAUGACAAUCACAGGGCACGACUUCCUCCCGGUUAAGAACUUGAGAGAAGUACAAGCAACUUAACUUUUAGCUCAAGAACAACUUAUCUUUUACAAUUUGCAGACAAGUUCAUAAGAGAUCACCCAAUUACUACCAAAGAAAGAAAGAAAAAAAUAAAAAUAAAAAGUAAAAUAAACUAGAAAAGGAAUAUCAGAAGUACAUCUUUAGACCACCGGAACCUGAACAUGACCAUAACUAGCGUUAUCAGCACCAUCGCAAGUCAAGAAUUCAAAGAACACAUACAACUUGAGAACAAGAUUGAAACUCGAAACAUUGAAUGAAUACUCGAUUGAUGAUAACGAUCUACAAUAUAGGUAAUGGCUUCCCAAAAAAAAAAAAAAACACACACACACACACACAGAGAUGGGUAAUAACCUUGAGGCCACUGAUGAACAAGCCUUUGUUUGAGCACAGAAAUAGCUGUUGAUGAUAUAUAGGUUCCAUGUCCUAUAUCUGUCCCGUCAUAGAUUCUGAACUUAAGUUCAACUUGCUCCUCCCCUUCAGCCAUUACAACCCUUCACCUCUGCCCAAAGCCCAGUGCAAACAAUUCCAAUUUUUUUAACCUCCAGGAUAAGUUGGCUCUACAAAUUUACCUGCCAACACAAACAUAAGUGAACCUCAAAGAAAAAUCAACAGGCAUAAUAGCCGAAGAAAUUGAUGAGAACAGUGGCGAAAUACCAGCCAAAAAGCCACACAGAGAAACUAGUCCGACUGGUUUACUGUUAUAGAAAAUGAGACAGACAUUCAAGUUGUUUUUUCACAGAUUUGUACUUUGAAAAAUGAAUCCAAUAAUCUAUCACCAAACAGUAGAGGGCAAAAAAUGUUAUCCAACAGCUUUCGCAGAAGGUUCUGCAACGGGAUGAUGCACCCAACAGUACGGAAUUAAUUAAGUAUUGCAUACAAAGCCCCUGUUCAACAAAUUGCAUACAAAACCCUAGCUUUCCGAAUUGUGCUAACAUAUUACUACAUCCAACAAUACUUAGGCAAAUUUUCAAAUACAAAAAAGAAAUCAGAAAAAUACUUUUAAUAAUAAGAAAAAGGAAAAGAAUACCGAAACCUAGAAUGUUCAUUCCAGUAUGCUAAGAAUCAGGUAUCCAAAACAUGUUUAAUUGCAAUAAAAGUAUUAACAAAGUUCUACAGCUUUCUAUUUCAUUCCAUCCGAUUUUCGAAUCAACAUGAGACGCGUAUAGGAAUAAAUAGCGAAUUAGAAAACGAAUAAACAAAUGAAGGCCAGGAGUACCGGAUGAAACGAGUCAAGACGCCAUCAACUAAAGAGGAAUCGGCAUCGGUCGGCGACCUGGCGAAAGUCGGAGACUGUGUCGGUGCUUUGGACUCGACAUCAGAUAAAAGAGGGAAAAAGGAGACAUACGGACCAGAAAAGGUCACUGUUAUUUCCUUAAAUGAUACUACUGCCACUACUAAUCUUCUUUUGACGCUUAGCUCGUCUUCUUCUCUGCUCAGUGCUCGCUCAUUUUUUUUUAGCGGUUCUUUUCUUUUCCUUGCCUUUUUAGUGCGUGUAAUUUAAUUUGCACCGUCUUUUCUCUCUCUCUCUCUUUUAUUUUAUUGUUCUUUUCUCUCUUCAUUUCUUCCGCCGCCAUAGUUGGGUGCACUCGCACUCCGGGAUGGUCCAUAUUUGAAUCCGACCGGGCGAAAUCCUCGGGCUUUGCAAAUUGCAGGCCUGCGAGUGCACGUAUCUGGUACGCAAAUCAUGAUGUAUACGCUUAUGUACGAUGAUCCUGUAAUUAGGGGUGAUAAAUUGAAUAUUUGAAUAAUUAAUAGUUUCUAGUAAUUUGAUUUAUGGAUUUAGGUUAAUCCAAUCCACUUAAAUCAAAUUACUAACUAGCCAUUUAGUUUAGUUGGGGAGGAUUGAACAUCCACUAUGGGCUUAGAAAGGAUUGAUUCCUCUGCAUGACAUUUGGUUCGAUACUGCAACAAUAAUAAUGAAUCUAUGAGUUUGGAAGACUCAAAAUUCUUCGAUACUCGGAAUUUGGUACAAUCAAAUCCAUUGAAGAAUUUGGAACAAAAAAAUUAGUAUUAAAUGUUUCGGGAAAGUUAGUUAUUGGAGUAGUGCAUCUUAGAAAUUAGAAUUUAAUGUUAAUAAUUAAUGAUGAUUGUAAAAUUGGAAUCAGCUUUGACAACUACUAUAAUUGGGUCACCCAGUUGGCUGGGUGUGAUUGGUCAUUGACGAACUUAUAGGAUUUCCGUUGGGGUUGGUCAAUGGCCACCGUACAACUUGCCACGCAUGAAACAAAAUGUCUCACUCUUAGUUCCAAAGAGCUUCAUUGUUGGCACUAUUUUCUUUUUCUUUUUCUUUUUUUUUUGGGAUAAAAGUACUUUAUAAUUCAUUCUCAUCAAUCUGCAUUAAUGGCAGAAGAUACGUCAAAUUGAAUAUUAAGGACAAAUCUAAACAGUAAAAAAUAACACUAUGAGACUCCAAAACGCCUUCUGAUCAUCUGCAGUCCUAUCAUGUGCAUGUCGCCAAAUUUGAUGUGAAACAAAUUUGGCCCAAAGAAAAAGCUAAAUCUGAUAUAACAGAUUUGAGAAUUUCUAGAUCUAACAAAACAAGUAUGAGAAAUCUCAGAUCUAAUAAGUAAAAUCCCAAAAAUAAGAAAGAAAAUCUCCCAAUAAAAUUCUAAGAGAGAGAGGGAGCAAAACUCUCGCCAUUAGAAAAUUCUAGAAGAGAGAAUUCUCUCACUAGAAAAAACUCAGGAGAGAUUAUUAUUUGAACAAAAUAGGAAGAAAGAAGGAAAAUUUGUCAAAUUGGUCCCUAACAUUUACCAAAAAUAUUUUUUUAGUCCCUAACAUAUAAAAUCAGCCAAAAUUGUCCUUCACAUUUAAAUUGUGAUUCAAUUUGAUCCUAAUGCUCGUUUUUGCUCCAUUCUUCGGCUAAAAAUAGCACGCCCUUCUCAUAUGAUUAUAUUUUCAAAGGCAAAAUUGGAAAACACAAAUCCCAGAUCCACUGGGGACGAUCCCUGACCUCACUAUCUUUAUCUUGUUUCGACCCUCUAAGGACAAGUUUACCACAACGGUGACUGAGUUCACCUGAACAGAAGCAUAUUUGGAGGUGAUCAGAGGCCGGAGAGCCGAGAGUAGACACGUAGUGUAGAGAUUCACCCGGGAUUCCUCCUGGGUCCGGGUUAGUUUCGGGAGGGAAAGCAAAGCCUCAUCUUGCUCGAACACUUGAGAGCUUCAGAGCUUGGUCAUGGACUUGUCUUCUUCGAGGGAGCUAGACUGACACAAGGACUCAAUAUCUGAGGAGGACGAAGAAGAGCAGCAACAACAAGGGCGGGUGGUUAAAGGUAGAGGAGUGGUGGACCUGUUGAUGACAGUGGCGACCGUCACGGAUUCCUUGGAGCUGGCGGAAACUUGACUAGGCAUCCGAGUCAGCUCGGUUUCUUGGGAAGAGAACUUUGAUAAUUGAUGAUUAGGCUUCUGUUGGGAACGGGAAGCGAGCAAUAAGGUACAAAUGAGGUUAUGAGCGGAGCAGAAAUCGAAGGGUUUGGGAGGAGGGAUAAAGAGAAAAAAAUGGCACCAGUUGAGAACAGCGGACAUGAGGGCGAGGUUAGGGAUGAGGGUGGAGAAAUCGGGAACAGAGCUGUCGGGGAGAGUGGGCCUGAAGUUGAGGGACUUGCAGGCAUCGAUGCAGUUACGCUCGAAGGAGUGGCCGGAGGAGACAAUAACGGGGUCAACCAUGAGGGAGCUGGGAUGGGGCAGACGAAUUCCGGAAGAGGUUGGAUUUUUUGCUUUGGGGAUUUCUCAAAAUGGAUUUUCCACUUGGGUAGCUGCUUCUGCUUGGCGCCACUGCCCAUCUCCCUUUUCCAUUGCUAUUUUGAUCCUGAAAAGGUUUUCAUAUGUGAGGGAUAUUACGGAUUGAUUGGGAGGUUUCAAAUCGGGUAGGUAUUGCCGGGUAGGUAUUGCCGAUAAUGAUAAUGAUGAUAGCAGUAAUCUUAUUAACUUUGAAAGAGGAAUUGUAUUGCUGAUUACAAUUGGGGACAUGAUGAUGAUAAGAUUCUGCCGCUAGCUGAUGAAUCUCUCUCUCUCUCUCUCUUUGUCUCUCUCGGUGCACAAAUUACUACACAAUGUAACAGACUAGCCAAUUGAGUAAAGCUUUUGUUUUCUACUUUUGCCCUUGAAAAUAUGACCACGUGAGAGGGCAUGCUAUUUUUAACCGGAGAAAUGAACAAAAACGAGCAUUAGGACCAAAUUGGAUCACAAUUUAAAUGUGAAGGACAAUUUUGGCUAAUUUUAUAUGUUAUGGACUAAAAAAGUGUUUUUGGUACAUGUUAGUAGAGGUGCAAACGAAUCGAGCCGCUCACGAGCGGCUCGAGUCGAGAGCUCGAGCUUAGAAUAUUAAGUUCGUUAGCUCGCGAGCCGAGCUUGAGUAUAUAUAUAUAUAUGUUUUUUUAUUUUUAUUUUUAUUUAAUAAUAAAAUUACGUAUAUUAUAUAUAUAUUUUUUAUUUUUUAUUUUCAUAGUGAAAUUACGUAUAUAUCCUUAAUAUUUUAUUAUUUAUUCAGAAAAAAUAUUAUAUUAUUUAUUUUUUUAAAAAAUAAAAUAAUUUUUUUUUUAUUUUUUUCGAGUUCGAGCUUGGCUCGACUUGAUUCGAGUCGUGCUCGAGUUCGAAAAUUGCCAGCUCGUCGAGCUCGAGUUUGAUAAAAUUUAGUCGAGAGUCGGUUCGAUUAGCUCAAAACUCGACUCGACUCGACUCGUUUGCAGCCCUACAUGUUAGGGACCAAUUUGGCAAAUUUCUCAAGAAAGAAAUUAAAAGAUCAUUAAUUAGAAGUAAAGAGAGGCAACGAUUUUCGCUUUUUUCCUGGUCAUCUUGUUUCAAAAAUAAAAAAUGAUUCUAAUUACUUAUACCGAAGCCCAAAAGCAACCGGUUGUGCGCAUUCAAGAAAGUUGCCGAGUUUUCAUCCGCCAGAGAUUCUCGGUGCGGAAUGCAUAUGGAUCGUUCCUCUCUGCCGUCCAUAUCCAAGAAUCUUGAAUCGGGACGUCUAGAAGGCUGUUGCUCGCUUUUAUCUAAUGCAAGAAUCUGCUCGUUCGGCUUCUUCCCUUCUGAUGGUUUUACGGCUUGCUCAAUAGCUACUUGUCAAGUUGGAGGCAUCUUGGAAACAGUUUGACAGCCCACAUGACAAAGGCCUAUUCCACUCUUGAUCUUUUUGUAUCAUAAUUCAAGAGUGUUACACUCUUUUAAGUUAGUGCAAGUCUUGCACUAUUUGCUAUAAUAGGAGUAUAUUUUUUUCACCAAAUUAGUUUAACUUGUACACCAUUUUGGUGUAAAUAGUGUAAAAGUUACACCAACCUAGUGGAAAGAUACAUCAAAUAGUAAGCAAAUUACAUCAAAUAUUGAUUUACACUAACUCAGUUGAAAGAUACAUCAAAUAGUGCAAAACUUGCACACAAAAAAAAAAGGGUGCGACAUGUGAGUGUUCGUUACACAUGAAUGUUAGUUAAUUUGGGAGUUUUUGGUGGGAUCUUACACUCCUACUGUCCGAUCCUGUAAAAUUAAAAUUAAAAUCGGGUUUCGAUUUUGCAAACUUGGCCACAUGUGAGUGUUUGUUACACUCUGUAACAAAUGAAUGUGGCGGCACCAAUUAUUUUGUGUUUUCCUUUCUUUGAUGAAAAGGACCCAAGAUUGUUGCGACUUUCUGCUCAAUCUUCCUUUCUUUCUUUCUUUCUUUCUUUCUUUUUUUUUUUUUGGCGGUUCCUAAUACAUAAUCAUCUGAUGUUAGAGAAGCAAAUAACAAACGUUGGCUUCAAUGAACUUUUACUUAACAGAAACACAAUACAAUUCAUUCAUAAUCAGAAAAAAAAAGUGAGGCUACUUAAAGGGUCUUCUCAUACCGGCACCAGCGGCAUAUGAUUAGCAUCGAGAAUCCACAGCCAUUAUGAGCCUAGCGACUUAUUUCAUUUGUGAUGAUGCAUUUGUAGUUUGAUGAAGCAACACCCCAACGAUCUGUUCUUCAAAUUUUCUAAACUAAUAUAAUUAGGAAUUGAAAACAAACAUAAUACACAAGAAUAAAGUUAGCAAGCUAUCAUUGUCUACCGGAAAGUGGAAGAAUCAAUUGCAGCUGAUGAUAUACACUAGAAAAGUGGAUGAUUUUGCUUUGGAACUUUAUCAAAUUGAGCAAUGCCGCAGGAAUAUUGACAGCAGAAAGCAUCAGCAUUUAACUUCUGUCCCUGUGAAUUUUCUCUUACAUUGGGUCCCCUCCCUUUAUCACCAGCAGUUGACAUAUUCCAAGCAUUCCGCCAAAAGAAUCCAUUUAAUUGAUUAAUUAACUUGUUCAUCUUUGUCCGCUUAUGCUACGUGCAUUUGUACGAAUGCACGUAACCGCCAGUAGUUUAAGGUCUAAUGAUGCCAGAUUCUGUUGAUUCAAAGCUUUGCAUAAUUAUUCAGACGAUCGAUGUUUAAUUCUCCGCUCGCCGGAGAUCAGAAAGGGGAGCUGGCGGGAGGCAAAUGUAAAUGUUGCGGUAAUGCAUGUUAGUAUAAUGCUCGUCCGCCAAUCUUCGUGCAUGCAACUACUAUCCUGUCGGAUGCAUAAUCAAGAAGCGCCACAACUCGGAACUGGUGAUGCAUCAUCUUUUUGGUAAAUUCAUUAGCGCAUAUUGAUGCAAACUAAUGACGUGAAUGCAUCAUCAAUCCGGUUAUGCUUAUGUAUACUAGUGCUUGCAAUAUUAAUAUUCUUGGAUUCUGUAAUUAAAUGAUUGCUAAAACUAGAGCAAAUAAAUAAAUUAAUCAUAUUAUAACUUUAUUACGCGGUUAGUAGUUAAAAUAACACUAAAUUCAUCAUUAAGGAAAGCAAAUAGAAUACAUGAUUCUUUGACUAGGCGAACAGGCCAGAUGAUUAUAUAUGUAUAUAAUUUGCAUAUAGCUAAGCUACGUGGUCAUACAUGCUAAUGGAAACUAGCUACUAAAUCUUCAACACAUAAUUAAUAGCUAGACGAUUGCUUAUGGAUUUAGAGAGAAUAGUAACUGGCAGUUCCAUGUAGACUGUAGAGAGCU
rnacentral:lncRNA from 1 species